GAUGAAGAAUCUGCUCUUUCGCGGGCCUAGCCUGCUCGUGCAACCUACUUUCACCAGCAUCCAUGGAACCAACACUUUAGUGACCGCUCGAGCAGUACUUGACCAGCUCACGAGAAUAAGGCGCUUGGUACUUUUGUCAGAAACUGUAGUGGCUGAGCCUUGACGCAAGACGACUUCUACAGAAACAACAUCUUCACAUUGAUCAAGCAUGGACGCAGUGACCUUAAGAAGCGUACUUGUUGGCAAAGCAUAUGCAGGGCCCUACAGCCGACCUCCACCGAUAACGGUGACUGUUGUGGCUACCAAAGAGUGGACCAAAGUCCUGGAAUGGG